GGAUAGCUCUGUCAGUAGAGCAUGAGACUCCUAAACUCAGGGUUUCGGGGUUGUGGGUUCAAGCCCCAUGAUGGGCA